rnacentral:rRNA from 1 species
CCUACGGGUGGCAGCAGUGGGGAAUAUUGGACAAUGGGGGGAACCCUGAUCCAGCCAUGCCGCGUGUGUGAAGAAGGCCCUCGGGUUGUAAAGCACUUUCAGUGAGGAAGAACGCCUGGUGGUUAAUACCCAUCAGGAAAGACAUCACUCACAGAAGAAGCGCCGGCUAACUCCGUGCCAGCAGCCGCGGUAAUACGGAGGGUGCGAGCGUUAAUCGGAAUUACUGGGCGUAAAGCGCGCGUAGGUGGCUUGAUAAGCCGGUUGUGAAAGCCCCGGGCUCAACCUGGGAACGGCAUCCGGAACUGUCAAGCUAGAGUGCAGGAGAGGAAGGUAGAAUUCCCGGUGUAGCGGUGAAAUGCGUAGAGAUCGGGAGGAAUACCAGUGGCGAAGGCGGCCUUCUGGACUGACACUGACACUGAGGUGCGAAAGCGUGGGUAGCAAACAGGAUUAGAUACCCGAGUAGUC